rnacentral:lncRNA from 1 species
UCUUCAAGCUCAGAUUCUGAUGGAAAUUGAAGGGGAGAGAUAUCUUUGAAGGCUUGAUACCUUGAAAGCCUCUCCAAAGAAGAGAGACAAGUGAAAGUAUUACCGCUUCCACAGAGAUCAUGGUCAUGACACCGAAGAAUGCAGACAAUUACAGGAUGAGAUAGAAAUCUUGGUUCGUUGGGGUUACAAUGGCAAAUAUGUU